rnacentral:misc_RNA from 1 species
GGUUGUUAGUACAUAUCAGGCAGCUAGUGGUGCUGGUGCUGCUGCAAUGGAAGAGCUAGUGCAGCAGACUCGUGAGGUCCUGGAGGGAAAAGAACCAACCUGCAAUAUCUUUAACCAGCAGUAUGCUUUUAAUCUUUUCUCACAUAAUGCACCUGUUCAACCCAAUGGAUAUAAUGAAGAGGAAAUGAAGCUGGUCAAAGAAACAAGAAAAAUAUGGAGUGACAAGGAUGUCAAGGUUACUGCAACAUGUAUACGUGUUCCUGUUAUGCGUGCACAUGCUGAAAGCGUGAAUCUUCAAUUUGAGAAUCCCCUCGAUGAGAAUACUGCAAGGGAUAUUCUUAAAAAUGCACCAGGUAUAGUUGUAGUCGAUGACCGUGCAAGUAAUAGAUUCCCAACCCCACUUGAAGUUUCCAAUAAAGACGAUGUUGCAGUUGGGAGAGUACGUCGUGAUGUUUCUCAAGAUGGAGAUUAUGGGCUGGACAUCUUUGUUUGUGGUGAUCAAAUACGCAAAGGAGCCGCCCUUAAUGCUAUCCAGAUUGCAGAAAUGUUGUUGUAGAUUUGCGAUAUAGCACCCUUAAAGGUUCUAAUUUUGGCUCCAAAUGUGAGAGACAGAGAAUCUUAAAGGUAGUAUUCCUUUAGCAUUACAUUUUGCUCAGCAAAACUUGGGAAUCCUCAUUUACGUUAGUUGAGUUCAUUCUAGUUUGGAGAGAGAUUUUACUUCAAUUCAAACUCUUGUUUCUGUCAAACUUCUGUUAUUUAUAAUAAUAUUGUUGGUUCAG